CUUUUAACGAUAGUCGUAUUUUUAUCGUUUUGCUGAACAUGGUUACGGGCUACGAUAAGAAUACCACGUCGAUAUCGUAUAAAGUUAUCCACUAUCAUUCGUAAGUGACCACGAUUGUCUAUGCCUAGAGUUUAUGAAAAAUCCAUUUAAUGCCUGGCUUUAUUAAAAUGUCGGACGUGUGUCGGACGAUGUUUGAAAACGAAUAGUUAGUUUUAUUACUACACUUCCAAAUUGAAAAAUGUUUAAAUGAGUGACAGCUUUAUACAAAUUGACUUACAUUAUAACAUGCACGGAUAAUCGUGUUUUCUCAACUGACAAUUCACUUGACAUUGACAAGCAUCGCGUACGCGCAUGAUUCAGUGAAUUUAGUGAACAUACAAACUAAGUCGAAGAAAAAUACUGAUUUGCUGUGUGAACUAAAGGAAAUGCCACCCAAAAUGUAAGUUUCUCUAAUUUAUUUAUAGAAAAAGUUAUAGUUCGUUUGAUCAUUAACUGGUUUUGUCAUGAAUAUGUUUAAUUUCAGACGAUGCUUCGGCGCACAAGAAAAUGCUAGCCAAAUAUAUAUAACUCAGCAUCCCCUGUUCGCCUACACCUACAGGGAGAUCCAUGAGCCUCUCGGAAGCCAGAGAUACAAAAUGCAAUGCUUCACAUUGCACAUAACUUCUAAGAUCCAGAAGAAAGGAUUGAAGAUGGUCCGUCGGGCCUGGGCAUUAUGAUCAUCGAGGGGCGGCACACGGAAGCCGGCCGAGGAAUCUUCGUCUCCGACUUACAAGAAGGCAGCGCUGCCGAACAGUCAUGACAUAUUGGAGGCUUGAAAGUGCACAUACCCAUACAUUGGACGUUAAGCUCAACGAGACCAUGCGAUGCAUCUCAGGCACUAUCCGAUCUACAACCGCCACUGGCUGCCGGCAUUGAGUCACAUUGCCCCUCCUCACAUCCGACGACUCAAGGCGUUGAAGAGGGAGGCUGAGAAUAUCACGAAUAACCCCACCCUGACCCUGUGCUACAGCUGGGAGCCUGAGCAGCUUUAAUAUUUCGGAUAGGUGGAUAGCGGAAUGGUCAGCUUCGGCAGCUCGGAGUUGCUGUAUAUCUGACCCAACUAAAAAACCAAAAGGGUUUGACCUUCCUCGGAAAAUCUGGUGCCGCCUGAGAACCGGACACUCAUACCCUGGGCCUGUUGAGGACCUGAAGACCGUGACACCUGACUUGGUUGCUUAGCUUGGCAACCUCAAGGCUACACUCUGAAUGCCACUUUAUUGGAGCAUUCCACGAGCUGUCCCGUACAAACGCAUUUUAUUUCCUGUGUUGCGACUUUUUUUUUUCGCCAUUUAAAGCAAGCGAAUAAUUUU